rnacentral:tRNA from 1 species
GCUGGUAAGGCUCAGUGGUAGAGUGCAUGCCUUGCAUGCAUGAGGCCCUGGGUUUGAUUCCUUACCACCA